CUUAAAAAGUAUAGCCGUACGGCUAUACUAGCUUUUUAAAUCUUCAAACAGAAAACAAAAAAAUAAAAAACAAACCCAGCAAACACCAAUUCCACCCCAUUGCAACAUCCCAACGCACCAUAAAUUUAAAACCAAAAAACAAGAACAAUAACAAAUAUAUCUUAAAGAAUAAAUAACAAAAAAUUGAAAAAAGUAAAAACAAGAACAAGAACAAUCAAACCAAACCCAGAAAACGCCACCCCGAUCUCGUCUUCCCCAACUCCCAACCCAACCUCCCCCCAUACCCACCACCUAGAUCCACCAGUGCAGGGCAGUGGGUGGAUGUCAGAUCCAAACAGAGUACAUCAAGGCCAAGUGGCUGUCUCCUCACACGAUCUUUGCGGGUGAGACUGAGUUGGACGAGUUGGUAUUUGAGCUGUCGGAGAGUUUGGGUGAGGAAGAGAAGACGAUAGUGGCGAAGGAAUGGAAACCGCCUGAGUUGAAGCCAAGAGAUCAUCUCAGAUUGGGGUUAAGAUGGUGACUGGAGGAGGAGAAGAAGAUGGGCAACGGAAUUCGAUGAUGAAGACUGAAAAGAACUCAGAACAGACUCAUGCCGUCUGGGGAAAACUCAAUUGGUAAAAGAACAGGGCAUGUGGGGAGGUUGGGAUGGGGAAGAUGAGAUGGGGGUGGCGUUUUCUGGGUUUGGUUUAUUGUUCUCGUUUUAAAUUUUUUGUGCUUGGAGAGGUUGAAAUGGGGUGGAAUUGUUUGUUUUUUAUUUUAUUUUAUUUUAUUCUAUAAAUAUAAU